UACGUAGGUGGCGAGCGUUGUCCGGAUUUACUGGGCGUAAAGGGCGUGCAGGCGGUUUGUUAAGUGCAGAGUGAAAGCUCCCGGCUCAACUGGGAGAGGUCUUUGCAUACUGGCAAACUCGAGGGAGGCAGAGGAAAGUGGAAUUCCGCGUGUAGCAGUGAAAUGCGUAGAGAUGCGGAGGAACACCGAUGGCGAAGGCAGCCCCCUGGGCUAGCACUGACGCUCAGGCACGAAAGCGUGGGGAGCAAACAGG
rnacentral:rRNA from 1 species